rnacentral:hammerhead_ribozyme from 1 species
AUCCAGCUGACGAGUCCAAAAUAGGACAAAACGCGCAUCCUUGAU